rnacentral:misc_RNA from 1 species
UCCGUAGUAACACCACGGCAGUCCCCCGUGACACAAGUAACACGGGGCAAGGGUUGCGCUCGUUGCGGGACUUAACCCAACAUCUCACGACACGAGCUGACGACAGCCAUGCAGCACCGGUGCUACACCCUCGAAGGCGACCCGGUUUCUCGGGCUUGCAGUAGCAUGUCAAGCCCUGGUAAGGUUCUUCGCGUUGCAUCGAAUUAAGCCACAUGCUCCACCGCUUGUGCGGGCCCCCGCCAAUUCCUUUGAGUUUCAACCUUGCGGCCGUAGUCCCCAGGCGGUUCACUUAAUGCGUUAGCUGCGGCACCGAGGGAAACCCCCGACACC